rnacentral:rRNA from 1 species
CCGUGGGUAACCUACCUCAUAGUGGGGGAUAACAGUCGGAAACGACUGCUAAUACCGCAUAGGACAUGGGAUCACAUGAUUCCGUGAGGAAAGGGUGGCGCAAGCUAUCGCUAAGAGAUGGACCCGCGGUGCAUUAGCUAGUUGGUAGGGUAACGGCCUACCAAGGCAAUGAUGCAUAGCCGACCUGAGAGGGUGAUCGGCCACAUUGGGACUGAGACACGGCCCAA